UCCACUUGUUGUACUCGGUAUUUUCCUACAUGUGCAUCCACAUGCGCAAGUGGCGUAUGUACGUUUUGCGUUGUACGUUUUGUAACUCGAAUGUCCCAGUUUGUGUUCGUCAUUCCGCAGGGUCCGUGUGAGAGAUCAUCCUGCACAUAUUCUUCACGCUAUUCUUCAAGGUUGACUCUGUAACAUUGAAGCCUUCUACGAUGUUCAAGUACACCUUCUUCUGUCUGUUCGUGUGCCUAAUUGUUCUGGAAGUCCUGGUUGGCGCACAGGAAGGAGGACUCGCACAGAUCGUAGGGGGAUUUGACGGUGCAUUAGACGAAAGCGCAAAAGAUGAACUUAGACGACUACAGAAAAUGAGAGACGGUACCUUAGACGAUGUUACCAAGGAUCUGGAGAAGGCCUUUGGACGUUAAGGAAGGAAGGUCAUCGCACAAUGAACAACGAAAUGAAAGUGUGUAUUCAAGAAUGGACGUUCGACGACGCCUUCAACACCAUGGAGAAUUAUACUUCGUUUACCGUCGAAGCGCUGUAAUCACCGAGGCAAUCCGCCUCAAUCGUCCAGUUAAAAUAAAUACGACGUGAGUGCUCUCGCGAUAUUUUGUAUGUUUAUAUGCUUGUUUGCUCUUUUUCAACCGUUUUCGUCUUCUACAGCCUGAAUAUUCGUAUAGUAUUAACUAAUUUAUCAACAGUAAGCAUAUAUUAGAAUGUAAUCCUUCACGCUCCCUUUGUUGUGCUUUUCUGUGCUCCUCCUUCUUCCCUUCAUUAAUGGCUUCGUGUAACUGUUGCACAUCUGCGGGGGCGACACCCUCGCCCCUCGUUGUUUUGUAUGUGUUUGUGUUAAAAUAAAGUUGAGUCACAGUGAUACCAGCGCUCGGGUCCAUCCUCUGGGCCUAUAUAAGCGGCAGCCUGGUCCACUGUAGGCAGUUCGUCUUC